UACGUAGGGGGCAAGCGUUGUCCGGAAUCAUUGGGCGUAAAGAGCGUGUAGGCGGCUCGAUAAGUCUGCUGUGAAAGUCCAGGGCUCAACCCUGGAAGGCCGGUGGAAACUGUCGGGCUAGAGUCCGGAAGAGGCGAGUGGAAUUCCCGGUGUAGCGGUGAAAUGCGCAGAUAUCGGGAGGAACACCAAUGGCGAAGGCAGCUCGCCGGGACGGUACUGACGCUGAGACGCGAAAGCGUGGGGAGCAAACAGG
rnacentral:rRNA from 1 species